rnacentral:rRNA from 1 species
CUACGGGUGGCUGCAGUGGGGAAUAUUGCACAAUGGGCGCAAGCCUGAUGCAGCCAUGCCGCGUGUAUGAAGAAGGCCUUCGGGUUGUAAAGUACUUUCAGCGGGGAGGAAGGGAGUAAAGUUAAUACCUUUGCUCAUUGACGUUACCCGCAGAAGAAGCACCGGCUAACUCCGUGCCAGCAGCCGCGGUAAUCCGGAGGGUGCAAGCGGUAAUCGGAAUUACUGGGCGUAAAGCGCACGCAGGCGGUUUGUUAAGUCAGAUGUGAAAUCCCCGGGCUUAACCUGGGAACUGCAUCUGAUACUGGCAAGCUUGAGUCUCGUAGAGGGGGGUAGAAUUCCAGGUGUAGCGGUGAUAUGCGUAGAGAUCUGGAGGAAUACCGGUGGCGAAGGCGGCCCCCUGGACGAAGACUGACGCUCAGGUGCGAAAGCGUGGGGAGCAAACAGGAUUAGAUACCCCCGUAGUC